rnacentral:lncRNA from 1 species
AACAAGACCAGCCUGACGACAAAUUUGAGCAGCGAUUUCGUUAUGAGGUAGACCAGCAGCAGAGAAAAGAGGAAUCUUCUGUCCACGAGCGAUGGAGUUCAUGACAUCAAUGGUAGAAAUCCCUGUUUGUAUCAUCUCUUCAGGGUAGGUUCUCUCACUGGGGUUGAUUGAACUUCCUAUACACAUUAUUCACCAACACAAUUAAAACAACAAGCACAAUCUUUAUUUUCUUGAGAGACCACACAAUGAAGCAAUAAACACUCACCAGAGAUAUCAAGGUAUGCCUGGCAAAAUGGAAAUAUGCGGAGGAGCCGUUUAUGCGUCAAUGUCUUGUGAUACAGGGUCUUCAAAACCUGAAACACAUACCCAGACCUGUAUAAAUCUCGGAAAACUACCAAAUCAACCUUGUGAACUGAACGGUGGUAAAUUUGUUGUCAAUCCCAGAUGUUCCUUCAAAAACCUGAAACCAAUAACGUUAUUGAGAAGAGAGAACCUGUACAGUCUGCAUUGUAGGUAGAGUAAGACGAAAAAGAUGAUGAAACCUGGACAACAGCUUUCUCGCCAUCAACUUCCAGAACCUGACCACGUCUCAUAGAUCCAUCACCUAAGCGAAUAUUAACAAUCUCCUGGUACUUUGGCCCCUGUUACAUUUCACAAACAGUUUAAUAAAUCCUCAGAGUUUAAGUAAAGCUUCUUGCUAACAAUGUAUAUAUAUAUAUACCUUCACUUUCUCAAGAAUGACUAAAGGUCCAGCAACCCCUGAGACAGUUCUGUACUCUACACAAAUUCAAAGAUUCUCAAAUCAGCAUCUUAAAAAGAUAAUAAUAAUCUACAGAAAAGGGUUGAUUAUGCACAAAUCAAUACAAAGCGGAACAAUCACAUGAAAUACACAAAGUACAAGGACUAAUAUGAGAUCCAUGAUCGGGAGACUUUACCCAUUCCGAUCUCGAGAGCUCCUUCAUCCAUGUCGAUACCAGCCGCUCCCAUUGUCGCAGAUCAAUAUCAAAUCAAACCGCUCCACAAAUCCUGUGGAAAGGGAGAGAAAAAAAAAAAGGUUACAAUCGCGAUGUCGAAAUGAAACUAAAUCAACUGGAUGAGAUCCAAUCAGAUCCGAAGAAGAUGAGACGGAGAUCGAAGAAAGAUCUGAGGAAGCAAAUCACGUACCUGGAACGAACGAAUGGAGAGAGCGAGUUGUGUGAUUGAACGAACGUGGUUGGAGUAUAUCCCACUGACCUCUCUAAUUAUUGAAGUUAUUAUUAUUUUCCUUCAAAUCCAAAAUUAUUAAUUUUUCCACCGAAAAGUUUUUUUUUUCCUUCAAGAAAAGAAAAAAAGAAACGCCCACCGUGGGUCUCGAACCCACGACCACAAGGUUAAGAGCCUUGAGCUCUACCAACUGAGCUAGACGGGCUUGUUGUGUAACACAAAGCUGUUAAUAUAUAUUAUCUAUUGUCAUAGCCUACCGACAGCAAGUGUAUUUACCAGGCGAGAGGCUCAUAAAGUUUAUGUCUACUUGUAUGAUGAACCAAAUUGCUGAGAGCAUCAUGCACUAUAUAUCUUCUGUAGGUUGACCAUUCAUAAGCUUCUACUGAAUUAUAACGAGUAGUAUUAUAGAAACCUAAUUUAUGAGGAUCAACAAUCUUCAAAAAUGUCACCAGAAAUCGACACAAGAACAUAUACCAUCUUUAAAGCAAUGGACAUAUUUGUAUCUUUUAUCGAAGAUCUCUUUACCUGUGUAAACCGAUACUAGUUUAGUCAUUGACAAUCGUCGCUUAUCCUAAAGUUCUUUAUGACUGAAGAGGUGUACCAUCUGAUGUGUUGAGAAGACCAAAAAAAUGUUGCUAGUUUUUCGUUGUAUCCCCGUAACAUGUGCUCUCUCUCUUGCUCCUCCACAUAUGACAGAGCAAAAUCCAUGAUUGGCUGAUGACUCGAUUUCUUCAACAUUUUGCUAAUCCCAUACAUGUUAUUUGUUAUUUGAUCUGUAUGCAAACUACUUUGAUGAAACAUUAUUGUUUGAUAAAAAAAACUUUCAAAGCUAGAUAUAUAAAAAAAAAAUCAUACCAACUUGUAAACUAUACCUCAUUAGCUGUGUCAUUGUAAACUACUAUUUCUUAACAUUUACACCAAAAAAAUGAAGUUAUUUUCAAGGCAAUGGAAAAAGCUAUCAACAAGAGUGUGACCAUUGCCGAGCUCAUUAAGGUAUGCGUUCUUUUAUCCGUUCCUAAUAACAAAAUGGAGCAGCUUUAUUUUAUCUGACCAUUUAUUUUGUUACUGUAAUCCUUGAUGCAGAGAAGGAUUCCUGGAAUCCAUCAGCACACAUCUAUUGGAUCCAUUGACAUAACUGAUAUCUGGGAGAGUAAAGAGGAAGGCCUUCUUCCGUAAGUCGAUUGAUAAUGUGUAUGCUCUUAGUUUUGUUGUCCAGGCAUGUUAGUUACUACUUCUUUGUUCCUUUUUUUCUUGUGAAGGAUUGAGACAACAAGGCAUGUGUUAGUGAUCACUAUAACGCUUUCGAAGAAGGAGCUGAACACAUCCGCAGUUGGGUGAGUUCUUAGUGCUUGUUUGUUUUGAUAUUUUAGGUACAGUUACAUUGUCUUAAGCACUAGUAUGUCUCUGGUGCUAAUAUCUUGUUAAAUUAUGUUGCAGUUACCAGUGUCCGAUCCCAAUCGAGUUGGGGAAGCCAUUUGUUGAGAUUGAUUACGAAGGAAGAGGUAAUUACAGUGACUUAUAAUGAACAUUUUCAUCCUCCCUAAGAUCCUGUCUUUUAUAUGUUUAUCUAUUUGUUGUAGAUGGAUCACCUUGAGGCAGAGAAAGAAGAGGCAGAGGAAGAGGAGACAGAGGUAGCAGCAUUGCUUUAUCAAUCUUAUUUCUAAAAUCUUAGAGAACGGUUCCAUUUUUGUUGAUCUGACUGUGGCUUUAUGUUUUCUCAGUUGUAUCAGGGGAAAGAUAUGUUAACGUUGAGUAUGAUGAUGAAAGUAUGGAGCCUGAGUAGGUACCUGGGAGAGGAGGACGUGGUGGUUGUGGGAGAGGAGGACGCAGUGGUCGUGGAAGAGGAGGGUUCAUUCAGCUAAACGCUAGUGUUACUUCAAACGAUCCCGUAUGAUCUCUAACAGCUUAAUUACUUGGCACUUAGCUUGCGCAUAAGCAUUGCUCGUCUCAAGAACCUAAACAGAAGAACCAUCGAUGUCAUAAUCCUAACCUAAUCUUCUUUCCGUCUCUGUGAAGAGCAACGUACGUGAGUUGGGCAAAAUGACACAGGACGUCGAGAUGAAAGAUAACCAACACCCCUUCUCAAUCGAUCAUCUCCUCCACGAUGCAGCGUGCGUGAAUCUCAAUCGUUAGGAGCUUCAUUGUUCUUCUUUUUCUGAUUGAUCAGAAGAAGUACCCCGAGGUUAAUCAUGCAUGCUGCCUGCCUCAUCAUGAGUUAUAUUUAUGAAUUAUGAUAAUGGGUUUAGUUUCAUGAGUUUGCUUUUUGGUUAUCUCUUAGGCUAAAGCUUGUUCUUCGUCAAGACGGCAAGCAUUGCUCGUCUCAAGAACCUAAACAGAAGAACCAUCGAUGUGAUUGUUGGAGUUAGCUUGAAGUAACUUGAGAUUGAAGCUACCUAAUCCUAGUGUGUUAUGGAAAUCUAAAGGAUUAGGAAAUAUUGUUUUAUGUUAAACCUAUUGUGUUUAGGAAACUUUGGUUCCUAUAUAAGAAGAUGUCAAGAUGUGACAUAGCUUAUGAGCUUUGAGUGAUUUUGAUAUUGUGAUUGUGAACUUGAUUGAUUGAAUAAGAGAAGGACUUCUUAUUGAUAUCGAUUGUGUGAUUCUACAUUUGGUAUCAGAGCCAUACAAAGCAACUUGAAGAUCAAAUUCAACAAACAUGGGAGACGACAAAGACGAGAUCGCUAUGCACAAAGAUACAAAACCUACCUCCAUCAAGUUUCCUAUGCUAACAUCCUCAAACUACACGGUCUGGUCUAUGCGAAUGAAAAUUGCGCUCAAAGUCAGUGAAGUAUGGGAAACAAUCGAUCCAGGAUCCAAAGAUGAGAAGAAGAACAAUAUGGCUAUUGCGUUUUUGUUUCAGUCCAUACCGGAGGCUUUAGUUUUACAAGUUGGAGACAUAGAAACAUCAAAAGCGGUUUGGGAUGCGAUAAAGGCAAGGCACAUUGGAGCCGAAAGAGUCAAGGAAGCUAGGUUACAAACCCUAAUUAAUGGCGGAAUUUGACAGACUCCAGAUGAAAGAUGGAGAUACAAUUGAUACUUUUGUCGGUAAACUUUCGGAGAUUUCUUCAAAGUCUGCAUCGCUGGGCGAGAUGAUUGAAGAACCUAAGCUGGUAAAGAAAUUCCUUAAAAGCUUGCCAAGGAAGAAAUAUAUUCAUAUGGUUGCCUCUCUUGAGCAAGUCUUGGACCUUAAUACAACCAGUUUCGAAGACAUAGUUGGACGAUUGAAAGCGUAUGAAGAAAGAAUAGCUGAAGACGAAGAAGAAGAUUCUCGUGACGAUCAAGGGAAACUUAUGUAUGCUGAUACGAAUCAAGAGAAUUAUGGGGGGCGAGGCCGUGGACGAGGUGGUCGCUCAAAUUGGCGAGGACGAGGACGUGGCCGCUCCGGAUCUUCAUUCCAGAGUCAAAGAGAAGCAUAUAGACAACGACUAAGCGGAGAUAUUUCGCACAUCACAUGCUUCAAGUGUGAUAAGCUAGGUCAUUAUGCUUCCGACUGUCCAGAUAAAGCACUUAAGCUACAAGAGACAGUCGAGAAGAAGGACGAAGAGACUCAGGAAGCUGAUGAAUUGAUGGUUCACGAGAUAGGACGGUCUCAACGAGUAAGGUCCAAACCCUCUUAUCUCGAUGACUACAUUCUAUUGGCUGAGAUUGAAAGUGAACGACUAUUGAUGGUAAUAAACGAGGAACCAUGGGACUAUACUGAGGCCAAGAAGCUAAAAGUUUGGGUAGAUGCUUGCAAAGACGAAAUCUUCUCUAUAGAAAAGAAUAACACAUGGGAUCUCGUUGAACUACCAUCUGGUAAAAAGCCUAUUGGUCUUAAAUGGGUGUUUAAAAUAAAACGCAAUGCCGAUGGAAGUAUCAGUAAGUUUAAAUCACGGUUAGUAGCAAAGGGAUACGUCUAAAGGCAUGGGAUUGAUUAUGAUGAAGUCUUUGCACCGGUGGCUCGAGUUGAAACGAUUCGUUUGAUCAUUGCACUAGCCGCUUCUAAUGGGUGGGAGAUCCACCAUCUUGAUGUUAAAACAGCAUUCCUCCAUGGAGAGCUGAAAGAAGAAGUUUAUGUGGUACAGCCUGAUGGUUUCGUUGUUAAAGGUCAAGAGGAUAAGGUUUAUAAGCUCAAGAAGGCUCUCUACGGCUUGCGCCAGGCUCCAAGGGCGUGGAACUUGAAACUGAAUCAAAUCCUGCGUGGCUUAAACUUCCACCGAUGCUCAAAAGAACCCUCAUUAUACCGCAAGGAGGAACAUGGCAAACUUCUGAUCGUGGCUGUGUAUGUUGAUGAUCUACUUGUUACUGGUUCAUCACUUCAACUAAUACAAGAAUUCAAGAAAGAGAUGGCAAAUAAGUUUGAGAUGAGUGAUCUUGGCAAGUUAACCUACUACUUGGGAAUAGAAGUUCAUCAAGGAGAUGAUGGCAUUGUUCUGAAACAGGAUAGGUAUGCACGCAAGAUCCUUGAGGAAACCGGAAUGGGAGCUUGCAAUGCAACACAUGUUCCAAUGGAGAUGAACGCUAAGUUCACUAAGUCACCAGAUGAGAGAAGUGUCGACCCAAAAGAGUACCGGCGAAGCAUUGGUUGCCUUAGAUAUCUACUUCAUACACGUCCUGACUUAUCAUUCAGUGUCGGAGUGCUAAGUAGAUAUAUGAAAGAUCCGAAGGAGUCUCACGGUGCGGCAUUGAAGAUGAUACUGCAGUACUUGCGCGGGUCAUGCUCUCUUGGCUUAAGGUUCUUACGCGAAAGGAACUUGAAACUUUUACUAUUCCUUGAGUUAUGAGCUAACUGGCGAUCUUGCUGAAAUCCGCGGGUUAGUUGUAGUUAACAGACGGGUUGUUUUUAGUUUUUUCUUUUUUGUACUUGGUUCUUCCCAUCUUAGUACUAAUCAGUAGUUUAACUGUUAAUUCUCUGGUUUCAUUUGUUUAUACAUGCAGGAAUCUUCUUGCCUUGCAUCACUCUGCAACACUACGCCAUGAUGAGUUGGGUCAGGUAUGUGUGUGUUUAAACCUCUACGUUCAUUGCUAUGAAACUUUUGUUCGCUGAUUGAAAUUUUUUGUGUUGAAUACAUGAAACACUUCUAAACCUGUUGCUUCGUAACUACCUGCAUUACAUUCAAACCAGCAGGUAGCUCUUUCUUGUUUAUGCUUUCAUACACUUUUAUAUCCAUUUCCCUAAUCAUUUUCCACUUGCAGUCAUAUCACUAACUAGUCUCCAACCUAGUUGAUGUGUUCCAUUAUACUCUCUUGCUCAUCCUUUGGUCAUUAUCUUCCAUCUGUUGUGUGUACCUUUUCUUUGCUACAUAAAAAUCAUCUUCUAUUUGAUAUCCCUUCCUGACGUCGCCAAAAAGCUGAGGCUCAGCUCGGCAAACCCUGUGGCUGAUGCUGAAAGCAUAGUGCCAAAGGCCAUACGCGACGGAGCAAUGGACGCGACCAUCGAUCACAAAAACGGGUGCAUGGUCUCCAAUGAAACAGGGGACAUCUACUCCACGAAUGAGCCACAGACAGAGCUUAACUCGAGAAUCGCGUUCUGCCUCAACAUGCAUAACAAGGCGGUCAGAGCUUUGAGGUGUCCUCCCAACACCCGCAAGGAGAAAGAGAGCGAUGAGAAGAGGAGGAAGAGUUGGCUAAGCAUAUGGCUGAGGAAGACGAUGAUGACUUUUAGAGAAGGAUAAUAUCUCAGUUUGAGUUUGUUUACUCUCACUCUGUUUCUUGUUUUUGCACACAACUUUACUGUCUACAGUGCCUUUAGUUCUAAGUGUUUUAUUGAGGAUAUGUUUCCUCCUCUCCGGAUAAUCAUUGUUCCUUUUUAUUACUUUGGUUAUAACUUUAGGAAAAGAGAUUUAUAUUAUCUUGUUGAAUACUAUAAGAGAGAUUAGGUGGGUCAGUAAUGCAACAUUGGCAUGUUAAUAUGUAACUUUAAGUCCACAUUUAUCUCUUAACUACUAGACGGUAAAGACCCUUGAAUAUGAUAUCAGAAGAAUGAAGACAAGACAUGUGUAAGGCCAUUAAAAUAAUUGAUACAUAAGUCCGUUCCUGCCAAACUAGGUUUCAUUUUCUUAAUAAAACAAUCUCAUGUUAUGCUUUAAGUUUACAGGUCUUUGUCGUGUGACCAAUUAAUUUAACGUGGGUUUUUAGGUAGGAGUAGGACACUUAAACUCAACGUCACGUAGGUAUGCCUUUGUGAUUAACUAAAACCAUUUUUUGCUUACGAUAUUACUAAACGCUAAUCACUUAGACCAAAGACUCAACGGAUUCUCUGAGCAACCCAACCACUUAUUGUUAUGUAUUUUAUUAAAGGUCAAAUAUUUCUUAAGUUUAUAACAUGCACAUGACUCAUCGUUACUAAACCUCGACGAGAAGAGUGACAAUGACACGAGCUGUAGCAAAAUUGGUAGGAAGAAGAAGAUACAUCGUUUAGCAGGUGGGAAGUUUUGGAGUCAACUUAUAGCUGGGCCAGAAGCGCCCUAGACUUCUUUAAGUUUACACCCUCUUUCUUCUUUGUCCAGGAGGAUGAGCAGAAAAAAGAGAUUGCUACUUCUAAUGACCUAAACGUCGACUUUCUAACUGCUGUUAUUGUUGCCACAACCAUCAGUUUCAGUGUUUAAUACUAAUCAUGCAUAAAGUGAGAGGUGAUUUUAAUAAUAGAAAGAAAGAGGGAGUGUACCAAUCAUGCAUCUAAAGAAAAAAUACUAAAGAACUGAAAAGAUAUAUACUAAGUUCUGUAUAACUUUUUCCUUUUUUGGCCAAAGAACUGAAUUUCAAAUUUUCUCUUUUUUUGGCCAAAGGACAGAGUUUCAAAAAGUUGAAAUAAAAACAGUUAGUGGUAACAGAAAAAGUAGCAUAUAAAACAAUUGUCAUAUGGCAUUCUUAGGUGUAAUGGCGCAAUCACAAAGAAAAAAAAAGUAAUAUAGUUCAUGUAUAUUUCACCAUGUACAUGGCUACAUCAUGACUCAAUCCAGGAACGAUUUUGGUAGAUCAUGACUAUCCACGCAACUACCAAAAGUCGAUGUGGACUGACGUGGACAGGUGAACAAAAAAAUAAAGGAAAAGCACACAAUCAAUCGAUUAUAAAUAGAGAGAAAGAGUCAUUACAACAAAAGCAGUUUCGUCGAGAAGAUUCAGAUCAUCAGAAGAGAGAAAAUGGGGACAGCUUGGUUCGUUUGGCAAGACUCUAGCUACCAGCUGCUGCUCCUGCAAGACAGAGAAAACAUGUAAUAAGUUUUUUUUUUUGAAACACAUUUCAUUCGUAAAAGCUCUUAAGCAGAGUUGGUUGAAGCCAUAAUGGCAAGUUCAGCAGACAAAACCUGCUUUGCUAAACUAUCAGCUACCCUGUUACUCUCACGUGAGAUCCAGGUAAAGGAAACAAAUUCAAAAGAGGAAGAGAUAGAUUUAAUGUCGGCCACGACACCAUAGAGCUCCGCAAAGGAACCAUCUUCUGUCAAAGCUUUGACAAGUUGGGACGAGUCCGAUUCACAUCUGAUUCUUGGGAUGGCGAGUUCUCUGCAGUGAAGAAUCGCUGCCCGCAGUGCGAGACCUUCAGCUAGAAGAGGAGAGUUUACAAACCUUUCAGGUAGGGAGAAGGAGGAGAGCCUGGAGCGAUCCUCUGUUGUCCAUCCUAUUCCAGCAACUUUUUUGGUCUCAUGCCAAGCUGCAUCAGAUCUAACUCGAACACAAUCUGGCUGAGCUGUUCUUGUAAUGAGGUUCUUCUUGCUCACGAGCGGGGUUUUUGUCUGCGCUCUGCUCCAUUCUGCGCCUGCUGCGACUGCUAUAGAUAGUGUAGCUUCUACAGUGAUUAUCCUGUUGUUAAAGACAAGGUUGUUUCUGGCCUUCCAAAUUUGCCAAAGGAUCCAGGGUGCCAAGGAUCCUACUGCAAUUCCAGAUGGGGGUAAGCAUCGUCUGCUGCAGAAGCUGUUCCAUACGUCCUGUUUUGAGAAUUCGCAGUGUAAGAACAGGUGCUCUAUUGUCUCGAGGCUACCACAUCUUUUGCACGUCCCUUCCACAUUGAUAUGUCUUCGAAGUAAUUGCUCUCCGCAGGGUAUAGCUCCAUGAAAGACUUUCCAAGCAAAGAGUUGGAUUUUAGGAGCUGUCUGUAGCUUCCAGACAUUCUUCUUCCAGUCAAAUUCUUGAUCGGUCUGUGUGGCUACUAUGGGCUCCGGCUGCGACGCUAAUGCUGCUAUGUAUCCAGUCUUUGUGGAGUAGGUGCCAGAGACAUCUUUCAACCACAUUAGUUUAUCAGGAGCACCUGUCAAACUGGGUCUGAGAGAGAGGAUUUUGUCUUCCUCAAAGGGUAGGAUCUGGCGAAUUUUCUCCACAUCCCACACGUUACCAUCUGGGUGAAAGAGGUCCGAUAUCGUAAGUGUGAGGAGCCCCUCAGGUGCUGGACCCAUUGGGCGCAAUUGCUCUGUUAGACUAAGCCAAGGCUUGUCCCAGAUGUUUGUACUCUGUCCAUUACCGAUGGCCCAGCCAGAGUUUUGGAGAAUUAAAUCCCGUCCCGUGAUGAUUCCUCUCCAUCCAUGUGAGCAACCGUCAUGAAGAUCAACCGAGAGAAACGGCUCCGAAGAACAAUAUUUACCUAAAAGGGUUCGACCAAGUAGACUAUCUGGGUAGUUUAAGAUCCUCCAGCUGAGCUUUGUGAGGUAUGCGUCGUUAAAACUCUGAAUAUCCCUGAACUCGAGACCUCCAUGCUCUUUGGGGAGUGUUAAUUUCCUAUAUAAUCUAUCAUAUCCUCAAUCAGUAAUUAUAAGUGUUUGGUUUAAACUAAGGAUAAUUAAGCCGGCUGCUUGGUGGGAUGGAGAUGAGGAAACAAAAGACAUAUUAGGUGGAAGAGAUGAGAAAACAGGAGGGACUUGGUUGGGUUGUUCUAAGCAAGGCCGAGUUGCAUUUCUUGUGAAUGUGACGAAUCAAACAUCUUUUACCCAUACGGGAGCCGAGUUGCUUACUGUCAAGUUCUUGAAGGUAUAUAUACUUCUUUCCUAAUUAUGAAAAGUUAUUAGUACUUGGGUUCUCAUGAUCUUGAUACAGGGGAAAAUGACUACAAGUGAGUUUGCAAAUGAACUUGCUAGCAACAAAGAACUGUCGUCUGGCCUUACCUUUAACUUAGUUGUGGCAGACAUAGCUUCAAAAUCGAUGGUUUAUAUCUCUAAAAAGUCUCCAACUAAGGAAGUCGAUGAGAUGAUAGAUCCUAUUGGUCCUGGUCGUUAUUUCAUUACCUCAGCCGGGAUUUAUGAUAUCUUCUCUUCACAGGUCAAUUAAAGCGACAUAAUUCUUUAGUCGAACAUGUUUUAAUAUAGUGAGUAACAUUUUUGUGUGGGGGAGGGUGUUAUGCAGGAUAAACACCCGAAAGGCAAGUUCAGUGAAGUACUUGAUGAAAACAAAGAAUCACCGAGGAGGGAGUUUUAUGAAAAGUUGAUGAAUGAUGAUCAAAUCAUUGUACCUGAAGGUGAAGGUGAAACCGAUACAAGCAGAACUGUAAGAAUAAAUACAAUACAGUCAUUUUUCCCAUUAAUCUGAUGUUUUGGACCCUUCAUUCAUCUUUUUGUUCUUUUGGGUUUAGGGUCCAAAGGGGGUGUGCAUUGGAACAACAUCGAUAGAGGUCAAAAGGGGUACUAGCAACAUAGGCUUCAAUGAGUACUACUGGGAGAAUGAUGAAUUCAAAGAGCAUAAGUUCCAUUUCGACAUGGAGUAGUUACAAUGAUCCGCAAUGAGCGAUUUGAUUAGUAGUAUGAUGAUAUAUAAAAUAAUCUUGUUGAAGUUGAUAAAGCUGUUAUAAGAUCGAUUUAGGGAAACUUCUUUCCUUGGUAGAUAUUAUUAUCUAGUCAAGAAGAAUAUGGUUUAAAAAGAAGUUGGAUUUUCUUAGCCUUUCCUUUUUUCUUUUUUUUUUUGAACUUCUUAGUCUUUCCUGUUACUCAAAUUUUACUCAAUAUAAUGCUUAUAAUGUUCAUCUAUAUAAUUCAGUUGAUGCCUGUUUGUAUGGUUAGAAGCAAAAGAAAGUAGAGCAGUCAGGAUUACAUAAGUACAAUUAAAAAAAAAAUUAUGUGCUAUGUACUACAAGUUUUCUAUAACCACUGUGUACUACAUUUUAUUGUCAUUUGUACUGCUUAAAAGACCCAUAUAUACAUAAAACAGACCAGCACCAACAUUAGAGAAAAAAAUCGAAACUGUGACUAUAUGACAACCUCAUCUGCAUCCUUGCGAAGAAGAGGAAUCGGGUAAGAAUGAUUCUGUGCACGGUUCUUUCCCCUCCCCUGUAUAUCUUUAUUUAUUUAUAUGUAUGUAUAUGUAUAAAUGUACUUACACACCUACAUACAUAUAUCAUAGUCAUGAAUGCUCAUCUUGUAUUCUUAAUAAACCAUGGGAUAUGAAUUUUGAACUGAAAGAGGAUUUCAAAAAUUCCAAACGCUAAAAUUACGCUUAACUUUCACUAAUUUGAGUAAGAAGCAAUUUCCACACGCAUAUCUCAGCUAACAGUAACCUUACAUAUACAAAUAUUCUAGAUAAAUUUAGUUUAAUUUUGAAAAAUAUCCUUGCUUUUGAUAAAAAUUGAAUACUCAAAUGGCUCAAAUUAAAUACCAAAAUGUGACAAACACGAUACACUCACAAUGCCACGUUAUAACAUAGUAUCUUAACCAGCCAAUAACAACGCAUCAUUAAAGAUAACAUCUAUGUGUGGAGUUUGCUUUUAGAGCCAUUCAUUGCUCUAUCAAAUUCUCUAUCUCUCACAAGUCCAACGAUUCAGCCAAAGGAUAACCCACAAAACAAAAACUUUCACUUAGAUAAACAAUAUCUUCAUCAUGGCUUCAGUAACCUCAGCCACCGUCGCAAUCCCAUCUUUCACCGGUCUCAAAUCCACAUCCUCCAAACCCUCAACCGUCGUCAAAAUCCCCACAGUGGCGGCAGCAUCAAUGAAGCUCACCGUGAAGUCAUCAUUAAAGGACUUCGGAGUCGCUGCCGUAGCGGCUGCAGCUUCCAUUGCUUUGGCUGGAAACGCCAUGGCAAUAGAUGUUCUCUUGGGAUCAGGAGAUGGGCCUACAGUGUAUUGAAAAAGGCAUUCGCCUUAGGCCCCUCAAUAAUAUUACAAUUUCUAGGGCCCCAAAAUUUAAAAUAAUUUCUAAUUUAGUUGUUUAAACUUAUUUCUAAAAAAAAACUCUCAACGAGAAUCAAAUAACUCAAUUUCUAAAUCCAUAUACUUUUUUCUUAUAGAAAUAUAGCAUAUUUAUGUAAUAAACUUAUUCUUGUAAGUGUUAAACUUAUGUAUUUCGUGAAGGUGAUAUAUUGUAUUAGAAAAUUGUUUUCUUUAUAGUUGUAUAUAAAUUUAUUUUUAAAACUUGUCUUAGGCCCCUAAAACCCUUCGCACGGCACUGGUUAUGAUAUGUGUGACCUGGAUGAAGUAAUAUUGGAUGAUGGUAAAUGCUACAUUUUGUUCAUUUAAGGUAUAAGCAGCUUGACCAAUGCCAAUUUCCUGAGUCCUGACUCGCAAUUGCUAGGACUAUUCUCUCAUUAUACAAAUAAGCUUAUACGAUAUUUAAAAAAAAAAGAAGCAAAAACAUAUACGAUAGUUUCAAACCUAGCUUAUGGGUGACAGAUCAAAUCAAAGUCGUAAUAUGAUUUAUAAUGACAAAUGAUUUAGGAAUCUAUACUAAUAAAAGAGACCUUUUGAGGCUCCAUAGAGCGUCCACAUCAGCAAAAAAAAAUUCUCCCGAAAGAUGACAUGUGGCUCUAUACUAAUAAAAGGGACCUUUUGAGGCUCCAUAGAGCGUCCACAUCAGCAAAAAAAAAUUCUCCCGAAAGAUGACACGUGGCAUAAAUUAUAAGUUUUACAUUUUAAUAUUACUAAUUUUCGAAAAUCUAUCUUAAAAUGUAAAAUAUAGAUAUUACGCAAAUAGAAAGUAUAAGAAAAGGAAAUAAAAAAUUUAAAAAAAAAUGGAAAAAGUACAUCAUUAUUUAAACAUCUAUCUUAAAAUGUAAAUCUAUCUUAAAAUAUAAAAUUAUUACUAAAUAGAAAGUAUAAGAAAUAUAAAUACACAAUAUAAAGAAAAAUAAAUAAUAAGUCAAUAUAUAAUAUAAGUAAAUACCAAAUUCAAAUAAUAGAAAAUUACAUUAAGAUUUAAAAAUAUAUCUUAAAAUUUAAAAUAUAGAUAUUACGUAAAUAGAAAGUAUAACAAAUGGAAAUAUACAAUUUAAAAAAAAAUAGAAAAACGUACAUUAAGAUUUAAACAUCUAUCUUAAAAUGUAAAAUAGAAAUAUUAAGUAAAUAAAAAGUACAAGAAAUGGAAAUACAUAUACAGGAAAAUAAAUAAUAAGUAAAUAAUGUAAAUAUAUAAUAUAUGAAUUAUAUAUAUAGUAAUAAGUAAAUAAACAAUUUUUUUAAAAAAUGGAAAAAGUUCAUUAAGCAUUAAACAUCUAUCUUAAAAUAUAAAAUAUAUAAUAUAAGUAAAUACACAAUUUAAAAAAAUGGAAAAAGUACAUUAAGAUUUAAAUAUCUAUUUUAAAAUAUAAAAUAUAGAUAUUACGUAAAUAAAAAAUGUAAGAAAUGGAAAUAAACAUUUAAAAAAAUGGAAAAAUGUAUAUUAAAAUUUAAACAUCUAUCUUAAAAUGUACAUCUAUCUUAUAAUGGUAGUAAAUUAUAUAAACAUGGAAAUACCACAUUAAACAAAAAAAAUAAAAAUGUAUAGUUUUACAUCAAGAAAGUCCCUAUAAAACUCUUUAUUCCAUCAACAUCAACCUCACACUAUCAAGGAAAACUUCAAAGCACUCUAGCAAAAAAAUGGUUCCACCAUCAACUCUUGCCGUCCGAAAAACCUUUAAUAACCUUGAAGGAGAUUUUUUAUAACAACGAACUUUUUGUUAGGUGGAUUCAUUGUUGGGAAACCCGUAACUUCCAAAAGCCAAACUUAUCCAUGGGGAUUGAAUUGCUUUUCAUAGACUCAAAGGUAUUUUUACAAAUUUAAAUUAAUCUAAUCCAUAAUUUUAUUGUUAAUGUUCAUACUAACUCUUUUGUGAUCAAACCAUUACAGUUAAUAACCAUUCAAGCGUUUAUCCCAAAACACUUCCUUCCUCGCCGAAUCAAGUAUUAGUUCAUGUUGGUUUAGAAUUAUUUUUGGUUUAUUAACCGGUUUAGGAUGGUCCUAUUGUAAAUAUAAUUUAAGUUGGUUUAGCAAAUAUUAUGCUUAAAAUAACUUAAAUUAAAUAAUAGUAAUAUUAUGCUUAAAAUAUAAUUUUAGAGAGUUUUCAAAUAUAGUUUACUGAACAUUAUAGGUGAUAAAUUUAAUUUAUUAAAUUCGUUUAUUACUUAAAACUAAGUUUUUUUAAAAACAUACUGAGUUAUAAAUAUCAAUGAUGAAUUGGUGAGUAUAACAUGAAGAAAAAAAUAUAAAUAUUUGAUUUUCAAGAUAAGAAAUUCAGCUUUUAUUCAGUUACUCAAUAUAUAAUAUCUUAAUUUUUUUUAAAAAAUAUACAUAAUUUAUAUAUAUAUAUAUAUAUAUAUAUAUUAAUCUUCUAAACUUAAACUAUUAUAUUAUAUAUGAAUAAUGUUUUUAAAUAAAAAUAAUAUCUGUUAAAAAUAAAAAUAAAAAUAACAAAUGGUUAUUUUCAAAUAAUGGAUGUAGUUUACAUUAUACUAUUAUUUAACAAGUAUUAGAUACGUUUUGAUAUAUCAUUAUUUUCUAUUUCCAGAAAACAAUAAAUUGUUAAACAUCAAUAUCAUCUAGGUUAAGUAUACGAACAACACAAAUUCAAACAUCACAAAAAAUAUUUACAUAAACAUUAUAAUACAAUAAUUUAAUGAAAAAAUACAAUUCAAAAAACAAUAUUCAAAAGAAUAGUUAUAUACUUAAUAUUUGAAAAUCAAAGAUAUUUUUGCUAAAAUUGUACUUACCUGGCCAAGGAGAUCGACCAUCUUUUUAUGGAUCGAUCGAUUGUUGAGCAUGUGGUCGAUCCGAAAAUACUCUGCAGUUUAAUUAAAUAUCUAAAACAUUUAUUCCAACACUCAACAUAUAGUUUUGCUAAAUAUGAUAAUUAGAUAGCCAACAAAAUUAUAAAAAAUAUUUAAAUAGUAAAAAGUAUGUUAAUUUAACGUGUUAAAAUUUAAAAAUAAAUUUUAAUUAUGACAUGCAUCUUAACAUUUAUAUAAAUAUAUAUCAUAACCUAAAUAUAAAUAAUUUAACAACUUAAAUUAGAAAAAAAAAUAAAAAUCCCGGGCGUAGCCCGGGUUAAUCCCUAGUACGACUAAUUAAAACAAACGACUCUUUCUAAAGUUUAAAUCUUCUCUAAUCUUCGAUCCUAAUCCGAUCUACCUUUGGAAAUUUUCACAUUACAUUCCAGAGAUAAAUACUAACAACCCGCCUUGUAUAUAAUUAUAGAUAUGCUAUCUUCUCUAUAUCUAAGUCCUAAUCCAACAUUAAUUAUAUAGUUGACACAUAACCCUUGUUGCUUAUAUUUAUAUAUUGCUCCAAAACCUCAUAAAAACAGAUAUUAAUCACUGGGUUCUUAUCAAAUAGUGCCGUCGGCGCCAACGCCGGCGGAAGAGAGGGAGACGGAGGAUCAGCAGGUGUCGUUAAAGACUCCGAUUCCGUUCCGUUAUCCAGCUGGGACCAAGACGCUUCCGUUCGAGCAUAUGUCUAAGUCGUUACAACGUCGAUACGUCAAGGUUAAAGAGCCUCUCUUUGAUCCAGUGACAUCCAAGCGUAUUUAUUGGCGGGAAGAGCCUUUUGAUGUCAACGGCAAAGAUGACGAUCACGGCCAUGAUCAUGGAUGUUUGUUCUUCUUGAAGGUAAGCAUUCGAGGAAUGGUCGAUAAAUGGUUUGGUCCUCUUCUUGGAUUACCCAAAACUGAAGAUUUUAAUUACUGAAAUACUUCUUUUUUUUUUACGAUUGAAACACAAACAUGAGUUUCUUUUUGGUUUGGGACUGACAUUGUGAGAAUGCUAUAAUGAGUUUUUUUAUACGAGUCUUUGAUUGUAUUAUCAUAAUUAUCUUGAUAUGUUUUUUCGAAUACGAAGUAUGCACGUCUAAAGAUUGUGGACAACAUAAAGUCUACAAAACAAAAGAUUGUGGACAGCAUUAUUUCUUGUUAACGCUUUCAGUUUUGUGUUCCAACUUCCAAACCCGUAUUAUGACACUAUCAAAUAAACACUGUCAUCUUUAUAUAAAAGCUGGACUGUUAUAUUCAUAGAAAUUAUCAUAGGGACGGGACCAUUCUUGAUUUGGAUUCGUAUAAUAGUUUCUCUAUCUUACAACCAGAGAACUCACCAAAUACAAGAUAUGGCACAUAUGUAUAAUAAGAGUGUUCAAGGAAAUAGAUUAUUACAAAAGAGAAAUACAUGAUUCACCAGUUUGGAAGACAAAAACACAAGGCUUAUAAACAGCGUUUGUGUUACUAGGCUUUCGUACACAAAGCCUUUAUUAUACAAAUGAAAAACAAAAGAAUAAUCCCAAAUCACAAUUCUCCGAGUUUUUUUUUUCACGCAAUCUUGUUUUUUCUUCUCGAGACAUAAUUUAAGUUCCAAACUUCCAAAUAAGAAUGGAGCAACAUAGAGGCUGUUUAAGAAAGCUUUAGCUUGUGGAGUCGCGGCUGUAGAAUUGAUCAAGUGUUUUGGCUGGAAUACGGUGAAGAAGCUCACGAGGGAAGAUACGGAGCAGUGUCCAUGCCAAGUCAAGUGACUGGAAGAUGUUUCUUGUAUCGUAUGCUCCUUGCAUCACAAACUUCCUCUCAAAUUUGUCCAGAAACUCUAAAUACAGCUGCAUAACCACACCACAAGAAGCUGAGUUAAUUAUUGUUGUGAGUAUUUGGUAUGAACAUGAUGACUGUGAUGAAAUAGAGAAAGGUACCAGAUCUUCAGAAGAAAGAGCUUCUUCUCCAACUACAGCUUUCAUGGCUUGAACAUCCUUCCCGAUUGCAUAGUUUGCGUAUAGCUGAAAUUAAUAAUACAUGAUAUUAUGAAUUGGUUUUGAUGAUACUAAAUAACCAUAUGAGAUGCUUUAGUUAUAGAUAGUGAACCUGGUUGGACACAUCAGAAUGGUCACGGCGAGUCAUUCCCUCACCAAUAGCACUCUGCAUAAUUUAACGAUGCUCAAAGUAAGUUAAGUUAUUAUGUUUCUAUCAAUGUGAAUCCAUAAGGUAUAUAAUACAAUGGCUUAGCUACCUUCAUUAAUCGAGAAAGUGAUGGAAGCACGUUGAUGGGUGGAUAUAUCUGUUUUAGGGAUGAACGAAAAUGAAUGAGAAACUUCUUUUAUUACAGAUACAAAAAAUGAAUGAAGUAUAGCGCACCUGUCUGUUGUGAAGUUGCCUGUCAAUGUAUAUCUGACCCUCAGUAAUGUAACCAGUAAGAUCCGGAGUAGGGUGAGUGAUGUCUGAGUAUUACACCACAAGAUAGUAUGAGCGUUGUUCAACCAGAAAGAAGAGAAUAUCCAAGAAUGAUAUGAAAUUUUUACCAUCAUUGGGCAUAGUCAGGAUAGGGAUUUGGGUAAUGGAACCCUUUCUUCCUUCAAUACGCCCUGCACGCUCAUAAAUAGUUGCAAGAUCUGUGUACAUAUAACCCGGAUAUCCACGUCUCCCAGGUACUUCUUCUCGAGCAGCAGAGACCUACAGUCAUCAAAAUACUUCAGAAUUCGUGCUGUUGUCAAAAAUAAAAUGUAACAUCAUGCUGGUUGGGGUUUUCGAAAUCCUAAAUCGAGUUAUGUAUCAUGGGACAAAACACAGAAACCAAUGAAAUACAUUUUACCUCACGAAGAGCAUCUGCAUAGGAACUCAUGUCUGUCAAUAUAACCAGCACAUGCUUCCCACAUUCAUAUGCUAAAUACUCAGCGGUUGUAAGGGCAAUUCGAGGAGUGAUAAUUCUCUCGAUGGUUGGGUCAUUUGCCUGUUGGAGUGGAAUGCAUACUAAAUGUCAACACAUCAUUAACAUAAUAUAUUAGUACUAUCAACGAAGUCAAGACGCAUAGUUACCAGGUUCAGGAAAAGAGUAACUCUUUCCAUUGAUCCAUUUUCUUCAAAAUCACGCUUGAAGAACUGAGCCGUCUCCAUGUUUACACCCAUAGCUGCAAAAACAAUUGCAAAGUUGUCCUCUCCAUGGUCCUGGAAAACACACAAGGGAAUAAAUCGAAGGAGAUUAUUAUACAAGGCAACCAAAUAAUCAGAGACUGAAAGUAGGAAGUAAAAUACUCAAUUGUCAAAGAAGUAAAAUAAUCACACGGAUUCUUCGAGGUGCUUAAAUGCUUCUUAGAAAGUGAAUGUGUGCACAGACACACUUACACUUCAGCAUGAUCCUCAAAAGAUAAAAAAAAAUUACUUUAGUGGUGGUGAGUGGGGCAUAUGAUUACCUCAAUUAGGUUCUCAGUCUUCUCUAACCGCUUAACAAGACCAGCCUGACGACAAAUUUGAGCAGCGAUCUCGUUAUGAGGUAGACCAGCAGCAGAGAAAAGAGGAAUCUUCUGUCCACGAGCGAUGGAGUUCAU